UUUGCCGAGAAAGGAGCUCCGGAGCCGCGACGCGCACCACCACCUCUGCCUUUGCAGCCCGAGGGGAGCUGUGGAUGCGGCUUUUUCACGGGGGUUGGCUGAAUUUCGGAGCGCGCCACAAACAGUAAGUACUUACAGAAGCAGUACAAGAAACUGCAUCGGAAAACAGGGAGAGAAAGUAUACAGUGCCUCGGCUGUUCCACGCGGUCGGAUGAGGAGACCCGCGGAGGUGGUGGUUACACAGCAAAGCAGCGGUAAGGCGCGUAUUGUAGUAUGCCCUCGAAGAAGCAGUACAACCUCGUGCAGAAUGACGAGAACGACACGCGCAUACCGCUCCACAGCGAGGAGGCCUUCCAUCGGGGCAUCGUUUUCC